CGUUUCGGACACAAGCGUGGAGCCGCUGAGCGGAGCGAUGUGGCGGACGGGUCCUCGUGCCUAGCCGUCACGAAAGACAGCUUGCCCGCGGCUGCCCCCCCCGUGCCCGGCGGGCGGGACGCCCCCCCAGCCGGGCCAUUGCUUCAGUUCGGGGGGGCUGAAGGAAACGAGCGUCGGCGCCAGCUGCACACGAACGUGCUCCGGGAAGUGAAAGACACGAUGGGGAAGGGGCUGACAGCAACAGCUUCUUGACCCUCAGAAAACCCAACACAAACGCCUGAUCUACACAAAAGGACAGUCCUGUGCUCGGAAGCUGAGCGAUGGAUGCUGAAAGCUGGUCGUUCGUCACUCAGCCGAAAUCCUGGUCGGGGAUGUUAAAACUUCUGAACACGUCGAGCUACUCCCAGCGUCUUGCGCCGAAACGCACACACACACAUAAAUUCCAGGAGCAAAGCUUUCGUGUGGUGAUGGAAAGCAGUAUUACGAAAAUGCUUCAUUCCUACACAUUUACGAGAACUGUCCCUUUUUGACACGGUGCAGGAGGAAGCUGGAUGGAACCCAGCUCAUCUGGCUGCUGGGCCUUCAGAGUCUGAAGGAAAUGCAUCUUUGUUGUUGUUGGGUUUUGCUAGUUCUUUUCUUGAAAUGUUUUAAGACGGGAAUGUUUAUAAAAAAAAAAUCUGUUGACUUAUUCUGCUGACUAUAACAGAAUGCUGGUCUUUUCACUGGAUUUACCUAUAUUUUUCCCCACUGUGGAGUUAAUUACUUGUAAUGCAACCCAGCGAAAGACACUGAAUGUCUUCACACUUUCCCAAUAUUGUUUCUGCAAUUACACACAGAACAGAC